rnacentral:rRNA from 1 species
UACGUAGGGGGCAAGCGUUGUCCGGAUUUAUUGGGCGUAAAGAGCGUGUAGGCGGCCAGGUAGGUCCGUUGUGAAAACUCGAGGCUCAACCUCGAGACGUCGAUGGAAACCAUCUGGCUAGAGUCCGGAAGAGGAGAGUGGAAUUCCUGGUGUAGCGGUGAAAUGCGCAGAUAUCAGGAAGAACACCCGUGGCGAAGGCGACUCGCUGGACUGAUACUGACGCUGAGGUGCGAAAGCGUGGGGAGCAAACAGG